CACGUCACAUUGAAACACCGGUUCUCGUGUGAUCACCGAAGUUAAGCAACGUCGUACCUGCUCAGUACCUCGAUGGGUAACUGCUUCGGAGUACCAGGUGCAGUAAU